GACGAACGCUGGCGGCGUGCUUAACACAUGCAAGUCGAACGGUAAGGCCCUUCGGGGUACACGAGUGGCGAACGGGUGAGUAACACGUGGGUGAUCUGCCCUGCACUUCGGGAUAAGCCUGGGAAACUAGGUCUAAUACCGGAUAGGACCACUGCCUGCAUGGGUGGUGGUGGAAAGCUUUUGCGGUGUGGGAUGGGCCCGCGGCCUAUCAGCUUGUUGGUGGGGUGAUGGCCUACCAAGGCGACGACGGGUAGCCGGCCUGAGAGGGUGACCGGCCAAACUGGGACUGAGAUACGGCCCAGACUCCUACGGGAGGCAGCAGUGGGGAAUAUUGCACAAUGGGCGCAAGCCUGAUGCAGCGACGCCGCGUGAGGGAUGACGGCCUUCGGGUUGUAAACCUCUUUCAGCACCGACGAAGCGCAAGUGACGGUAGGUGCAGAAGAAGGACCGGCCAACUACGUGCCAGCCGCCGCAGUAA
rnacentral:rRNA from 1 species